UACGGGGGGGGCAAGCGUUGUUCGGAAUUACUGGGCGUAAAGGGCUUGUAGGUGGCCAACUAAGUCAGACGUGAAAUCCCUCGGCUUAACCGGGGAACUGCGUCUGAUACUGGAUGGCUUGAGUGUGGGAGAGGGAUGCGGAAUUCCAGGUGUAGCGGUGAAAUGCGUAGAUAUCAGGAGGAACACCGGUGGCGAAGGCGGCUUGCUGGGCCUUACCUGACGCUGAGGAGCGAAAGCGUGGGGAGCGAACAGG
rnacentral:rRNA from 1 species